GGGCGGCUUACACAUGCAAGUCGAGCGGUAGCACAGGAGAGCUUGCUCUCUGGGUGACGAGCGGCGGACGGGUGAGUAAUGUCUGGGAAACUGCCUGAUGGAGGGGGAUAACUACUGGAAACGGUAGCUAAUACCGCAUAACGUCGCAAGACCAAAGAGGGGGACCUUCGGGCCUCUUGCCAUCAGAUGUGCCCAGAUGGGAUUAGCUAGUAGGUGGGGUAAUGGCUCACCUAGGCGACGAUCCCUAGCUGGUCUGAGAGGAUGACCAGCCACACUGGAACUGAGACACGGUCCAGACUCCUACGGGAGGCAGCAGUGGGGAAUAUUGCACAAUGGGCGCAAGCCUGAUGCAGCCAUGCCGCGUGUGUGAAGAAGGCCUUCGGGUUGUAAAGCACUUUCAGCGAGGAGGAAGGUGGUGAACUUAAUACGUUCAUCAAUUGACGUUACUCGCAGAAGAAGCACCGGCUAACUCCGUGCCAGCAGCCGCGGUAAUACGGAGGGUGCAAGCGUUAAUCGGAAUUACUGGGCGUAAAGCGCACGCAGGCGGUUUGUUAAGUCAGAUGUGAAAUCCCCGGGCUCAACCUGGGAACUGCAUUUGAAACUGGCA
rnacentral:rRNA from 1 species